rnacentral:rRNA from 1 species
AUGGCAUUGGGAGAUCUCAUGGCGUCCAGGCUCGUGCACUCGUCCUCAUCGUCGUCCUCGUCCUCGCUGCCCACUCCCUCCUUGGCGGCGGUGAACCACCAGACGGACCGCGUGGAUGGUGAGCUCCCUGUCGCGAACGGGCCGGAGCUUCGGAGGGAGGACGCCGGCGAGGAGGAUGAGGAGGGGAAGGCCGUUGCGCUCGUGCCGUGCCUGCCGCAGGUGGUUGUGCUGUGCGAGCAGCGGCACGAGGGGUUCGAUGAGGCCGUCGCUGCCGCGGCGGGGCCAUCGACCAGCGGCCUCGUCUCCAAGUGGCGCCCCAAGGACAGGAUGAAGACUGGAUGUGUUGCACUUGUAUUAUGUUUAAACAUUAGUGUUGAUCCGCCGGAUGUAAUUAAAAUUUCCCCUUGUGCAAGAAUGGAGUGUUGGAUAGAUCCAUUUUCUAUGCCACCUCCCAAAGCCCUUGAAACUAUUGGAAAAACAUUACACUCACAGUAUGAGCGGUGGCAGCCUAAGGCUCGUUACAAGCUUCAGCUGGAUCCAACAGUCGAAGAAGUCAAGAAGCUUUGUAAUACUUGCCGCAAAUAUGCCAGAUCAGAGAGAGUUCUUUUUCAUUACAAUGGUCAUGGUGUACCAAAGCCUACAGCUAAUGGAGAGAUUUGGGUGUUUAACAAGAGUUAUACACAAUAUAUCCCUCUUCCUAUUACUGAUCUCGAUUCAUGGCUGAAAACACCAUCGAUUUAUGUUUUUGACUGCUCAGCAGCUGGAAUGAUUGUGAAAGCUUUUCUAGAGCGCCUAGACUGGAGUUCAAGCUCUUCUGCGUCCUCAGUGAAGGAUUGCAUUCUCCUUGCUGCCUGUGAGGCACAUCAAACUCUUCCUCAGAGUGCAGAAUAUCCCGCUGAUGUGUUUACAGCUUGCCUGACCACUCCCAUAAAAAUGGCAUUGCACUGGUUUUGUAAACGAUCAUUACUCAGUGGUGCUCUGGAUCACUCUCUUAUUGACCAAAUUCCUGGAAGGCAAAAUGACCGUAAAACACUUCUGGGGGAGUUGAACUGGAUUUUCACUGCUAUUACAGAUACUAUUGCAUGGAAUGUUCUUCCUCAUGAAUUAUUCCAAAGGCUUUUCAGGCAGGAUCUUUUGGUCGCCAGUCUCUUUCGCAACUUCUUACUUGCUGAGAGAAUCAUGCGAUCUGCAAACUGUUCUCCAAUUACAUACCCACUAUUGCCACCCACACAUCAACACCAUAUGUGGGAUGCAUGGGACAUGGCUGCGGAGAUCUGCCUUUCCAAGCUUCCUCAUUUGAUUGCUGAUCCUAAUGCAGAGUUUCAGCCGAGCCCAUUUUUCACGGAGCAAUUGACAGCAUUUGAAGUUUGGCUUGAUCAUGGCUCUGAGGAUAAGAAACCACCUGAACAGUUACCCAUUGUUCUUCAGGUCCUGCUUAGCCAAUCACACAGAUUUAGAGCACUUGUUCUGCUUGGAAGAUUUCUUGAUAUGGGGCCAUGGGCAGUUGAUUUGGCCUUGUCUGUUGGUAUCUUCCCUUACGUGCUCAAACUGCUCCAAACAAGUGCGAUGGAGUUGCGUCAAAUUCUUGUGUUCAUAUGGACAAAAAUUCUCUCUCUUGAUAAGUCAUGCCAGGUUGAUUUGGUGAAAGAUGGAGGGCAUGCAUAUUUUAUCAGGUUUCUUGAUAGUUUGGAUGCUUACCCGGAGCAGCGUGCAAUGGCUGCUUUCGUUUUAGCAGUUAUUGUGGAUGGGCAUAGGAGGGGUCAAGAGGCUUGCAUGAGUGCAGGUCUUAUAGAUGUUUGCCUGAGACAUCUGCAACCUGAGAAUCCUCAUGAUGCACAGACAGAGCCUUUGCUUUUGCAAUGGCUUUGUUUAUGCCUUGGCAAACUCUGGGAAGAUUUCCCUGAGGCUCAGUUACUUGGUCUACAAUCAAAUGCACCCGAAAUUGUUACAUGUUUAUUGUCUGAGCCUCAACCUGAGGUCAGAGCCUCUGCUGUUUUUGCACUUGGAAAUCUGUUGGACAUUGGAUCUCCAUCAGUGAAUGGAGGUGAUGACGACUCUGAUGAUGAUGAAAAGGUGAGAGCUGAAAUAAAUGUUGUUCGAAGCCUUCUGCAAGUCACUUCAGAUGGUAGCCCUCUUGUUAGAGCUGAGGUUUCUGUAGCUCUUACUCGCUUUGCGCUGGGCCACAACAAACAUCUCAAAUCUGUUGCUGCGGAGUACUGGAGACCUCAAACCAAUUCACUGCUGAAGUCACUACCAUCAUUGGCUAAUAUUAAUAACCCAAGCAAUGUUUACAGUCCCAGUAACUUUCUGCAAAGCAGCAGUGGCCUUUCUUCGCAUAUUGGUCCUGUGUUAAGGGUUGGUAGUGAUACCAGUGCCACAGGUCGUGAUGGAAGAAUUUCUACAAGCAGCCCGAUUGCGACAAAUAGCAUCAUGCAUGGGUCUCCCCAGUCAGAUGAUUCUUCUCAGCACUCUGAUUCAGGCAUAUUGCUUAGAGAGAAUGCAAGUAACGGUGGUCUCAGCUACACCAGGUCAAGGCCUAUUAUUGACAGUGGAAUUUAUUCCCUAUUUAUUUCGACGAUGUGCUCUGUUGCUAAAGAUCCUUACCCUAGAAUUGCAAAUAUUGGCCGGAGAGCACUGUCCCUUGUAGGGGUCGAGCAAGUGGUCAUGAGAAAUACUAGAUUUGGCAGUGGGGGUGCAGGAGAGACAUCUGCUCCUUCAUCAAACAUAGGAAUGGCACGUUCUUCUUCCUGGUUCGACAUGAAUUCUGGAAUCUCAAUGGCAUUUAGGACUCCUCCUGUUAGUCCACCUCAGCAUGAUUACCUUACAGGGUUGCGCCGCGUGUGUUCUAUGGAGUUCAGACCACAUCUCUUGAAUUCACCUGAUGGCUUAGCUGAUCCGCUCUUAAGCUCUGCUGCAGCCCCCAGUACCAGUGAGCUUAAUAUACUUCCUCAAUCAACAAUAUACAACUGGAGUUGUGGCCACUUCUCUAGGCCACUUCUAACCGGUUCUGAUGAUAAUGGGGAAGUAAGUGCUAGAAGAGAAGAGAGAGAACGAACUGCACUGGAUUGCAUCGCUAAGUGCCAGCGUUCCUCAGCAUGCAAGAUGACUAGCCAAAUUGCUAGCUGGGAUACAAAGUUUGAGUUGGGUACAAAAUCAGCAUUGCUGUUACCUUUUUCUCCUAUCGUCGUUGCAGCUGAUGAAAACGAGCAAAUAAGAGUGUGGAAUUAUGACGAUGCUCUACCAGUGAAUACUUUUGAAAACCACAAGUUAUCUGACAGAGGACUAUCCAAACUUCUACUUAUCAAUGAGCUUGAUGAAAGCUUGCUUUUAGUUGGCUCAAGUGAUGGAAAUGUCCGUAUAUGGAGAAACUAUACUCAAAAGGGAGGACAGAAACUUGUAACUGCCUUCUCAUCAGUUCAGGGCCAUCGAGCUGCAGGCCGCAGCGUUGUGAUCGACUGGCAACAGCAAUCUGGUUAUCUGUAUGCAUCUGGUGACAUGUCUUCCAUCCUCGUAUGGGAUCUUGACAAGGAGCAACUUCUCAACACCAUUCCAUCAUCUGCUGAUAGUGGCAUUUCAGCUCUGUCUGCAUCUCAGGUUAGACCUGGUCAAUUUGCUGCCGGUUUUAUUGAUGCAUCCGUAAGGAUAUUUGAUGUUCGUACCCCUGACAGGCUAGUUUACAUGGCAAGACCACAUGCCCCAAGAACUGAAAAGGUCGUCGGUAUAGGAUUUCAGCCUGGAUUUGAUCCAUACAAGAUUGUAAGCGCAUCUCAAGCUGGAGACAUUCAGUUUCUUGAUGUUAGAAGGGCUGCUGAACCCUACCUCACUAUUGAAGCUCACAGGGGUUCGUUAACAGCAUUGGCUGUUCACCGGCAUGCUCCAGUCAUUGCAAGUGGCUCAGCUAAGCAGAUGAUUAAAGUGUUCAGUCUUGAAGGAGAACAGCUAACAAUCAUUCGCUACCAGCCAUCUUUUAUGGGCCAAAGGAUAGGAAGUGUAAACUGCCUUUCGUUCCAUCCGUACAAAUCUCUCCUGGCUGCUGGAGCUGGUGAUAAUGCUCUGGUCUCUAUCUAUGCUGAGGACAAUUAUCAAGUAAGAUGA